rnacentral:rRNA from 1 species
AGCGAACGCUGGCGGCAUGCCUAACACAUGCAAGUCGCACGGUCGGGGGGUGACCUUCGGCAGUGGCGGACGGGUGAGUAACGCGUAGGGAUCUAUCCUUGGAUGGGGGACAACCGCGGGAAACCGCGGCUAAUACCGCAUGAUGCCUGAGGGCCAAAGCUCGCGAGAGCGUCUGGGGAGGAGCCUGCGUCCGAUUAGCUAGUUGGUGGGGUAACGGCCCACCAAGGCGUCGAUCGGUAGCUGGUCUGAGAGGAUGAUCAGCCACACUGGGACUGAGACACGGCCCAGACUCCUACGGGAGGCAGCAGUGGGGAAUAUUGGACAAUGGGCGCAAGCCUGAUCCAGCAAUGCCGCGUGGGUGAAGAAGGU